rnacentral:rRNA from 1 species
UACGUAGGGUGCGAGCGUUAAUCGGAAUUACUGGGCGUAAAGCGUGCGCAGGCGGUGAUGUAAGACAGAUGUGAAAUCCCCGGGCUCAACCUGGGAACUGCAUUUGUGACUGCAUCGCUGGAGUGCGGCAGAGGGGGAUGGAAUUCCGCGUGUAGCAGUGAAAUGCGUAGAUAUGCGGAGGAACACCGAUGGCGAAGGCAAUCCCCUGGGCCGAUACUGACGCUGAGGAGCGAAAGCGUGGGGAGCGAACAGG